GAUUUGCUGGUGUAACCGGUUAGCACCUCACUCUUUCACUGUGGUAGUAUGGGUUCGAGUCCCGUGCAGAUCA
rnacentral:tRNA from 1 species